GCUACAAAAUUGCUGCACCUUGCAGCAAAAUCUGAUUUCUACGCAUGUUAAGUAUUUUCAAUUAACAUGCGUAGAAAUCAGAUUUUGUUGCAAGUUGCAGCAAUUUUGUUG
rnacentral:miRNA from 1 species